rnacentral:lncRNA from 1 species
GGGAAAAGGUUUUGAAUACCACAGGGAAUAAUAUGGAAAAACAAGAAAGAAUGGAAAAGGCACCGCUGAAAAUUAAUGGGUCUUAAGUGACGAACCACUGGCCUUCAUCAAGGGGUAUCAAGGAGUCAUCUAUUCUACUACAUGUUAUCUGAUCCACAACAGAAAAACUUUCUGGGUCUCUAUUUCAGCAAACUGUUCUUCUCCUGAACCCCUUGG